GACGAACGCUGGCGGCGUGCUUAACACAUGCAAGUCGAACGGUGAAGCGCCUUCCUUUUUGGUGGGUGUGGAUGAGUGGCGAACGGGUGAGUAACACGUGAGUAACCUGCCCCCUUCUUCUGGAUAACCGCAUGAAAGUGUGGCUAAUACGGGAUAUUCUGGGUCUGUCGCAUGAUGGGUCUGGGAAAGAUAUUGUUUCGGUGGGGGAUGGGCUCGCGGCCUAUCAGCUUGUUGGUGGGGUGAUGGCCUACCAAGGCGGUGACGGGUAGCCGGCCUGAGAGGGUGGACGGUCACACUGGGACUGAGACACGGCCCAGACUCCUACGGGAGGCAGCAGUGGGGUAUAUUGCACAAUGGGCGCAAGCCUGAUGCAGCGACGCCGCGUGAGGGAUGGAGGCCUUCGGGUUGUGAACCUCUUUCGCCAGUGAAGCAGGCCUGCCUCGUUUGUGGGUGGGUUGACGGUAGCUGGAUAAGAAGCGCCGGCUAACUACGUG
rnacentral:rRNA from 1 species